GGGUCAGUAGGUUGGUCGUGCCACCGGUACGUACUGGUCUCACUGAUUCCUCCUUCCUGAAGAACCUUAAUGCCAUUAAUUUGGUGUUGCGGUGAAACAGGACUGUUACUUUGAAAAAAUUAGAGUGUUUAAAGCAAGCUAACGCUUGAAUACAUUAGCAUGGAAUAAUGAAAUAGGACGAUCGAUCCUAUUUUGUUGGUUUCUAGGAUUGACGUA
rnacentral:rRNA from 1 species